rnacentral:lncRNA from 1 species
AAAAAGUAUCUAAAUCUGAUAUUAGAUAAAUAGUUUGUACACUUGUAUAGAAUGGACAUAGUUGUGGAUUUGGACAUGAUGUAAUAAUAAAAAUUUAAAUCUUAUUCCAUUUUAUUUUAAAAAUUUUUAUCAAAAAUAUCUUUGUGAAGUGUAUAAGGUAUAUCAUGUUGUUAUAAAAUGGACAUAAUCAUCCCAUCUUACAUAAAAAUAAAAUAAAAUAUAGUAUUCUAAUAUAUAAAAUAUUAUAUAAUAUCGUCAUCGUGUUGUUAUAUUAUAUAAUAUGUUAUUACAUUGUAGAGUAAGAGGACGUGAAUCCAUUUAGAUGAAAUAGAUAAAAAUUAAAUUAGAAUUUUUUGCGUAUAUAUCCUUCUAAACAUUCAAAUUUGCGUGAAUAUCCUCAUGAAAUUACUAUUUGUGUAUAUAUCCUUAUAAAUUUUCUUUUUGCACAUCAAUUCAUAAAGAUAUUUUAGUCAUUUAAAUUUUAAAUCAUUAAUUUUUUAACAGCGUUAAAUGAUAUGGGUACAUAUACAAAAAAUAAGUAAAAAGGGAUAUAUAUGCAAAACAAGAAUUUUAGGAGGGUAUACAUACAAAUAUCAAUUUUGAAAGAAUAUUCACGCAAAUUUGAAUGUUUAGGAGGAUAUACAUGCAAAUUUUUUUUUCCGCCUUGUUAUGUGCCUUUAAUAUAUAUAAAACAAAUCUGACUGUUUCCAACGGAGCUGUCAUAUUUCACAGGAUGCCAUGGCGUGGAGAUUCUAUAAGCUUAGUUCAUUUUUGUUCCUUCUUUUCCCUUUAUAUUUUCCUUUUUGCCACCAAACAAACAUGUAUAAAAUGUCGCCUUCUUUCAGGAUUUAACGUUUUGGUACUUUAUAGCAGACGUGCCUAAAGGGCUGGCAUACACCUUAUCCUUCAUAAUCCUAACAUUUCUGUUCACUAUUUUGCUCGUUUAUACUCAAGACCACAAAAUGUUUCAAUUGUUUUCAAUAUUUCCUUUACCGUCAACCUUGUGAUCCUCUUUUUUCAUUGGAGAUAAUGAUGUUGCACAUUUCUGUCCUUU